ACAGAGAGACACAGAAGGAAAUAUUGGGAUGGGAAAGAACAGUUUAUUUACAUUACGUGAGAUGUGAUUGCAGACAGCGCACUGGGCUGUGGUAGAACUGACCAGUGGCACCUUGCCUUUGCUCUGCUCAUUCCCGCCGGAGCAGCUGUGUCACGGGGACGCUGAACUUGGGAGCAGCUGCCUGCAAUGGACCUUCACAUGCAGGAAUGUCGGCAGGAGUGCGUGGAAGCACAUCAUCCAGGUUUAGCUGGUGGAUCAUAUUGUGAAAUCUGCAGCCAUGAAAGGCCCUCCAUUUACUGCACCCUUCAAAACGAAAUGUUAGCAUGGGAGGCUAAGCUGGAGGCUAAUAACGAAGGAGUCAGUGAAGGAGACCGAUGCCACGAGGGUUAUCUCACAGCCCCAGAUGCUGGAUAAGUUGAAGGAAGCAGAAUCGCUUUUGGAUGACAUUCAGAAAGGCCUUGAAUGGUUAUCUGGUGAAAAAAAGACUGUUCUUU